CACUCACACACACACACACACACUGCACCCCUGACACUCACAGCACACACACUGCACCCCUGACACUCACAGCACACACACUGCACCCCUGACACUCACAGCACCCUCCCACACACACACUGCACCCCUGACACUCACAGCACACACACACACACUGCUCCCCUGACACUCACAGCACACACACUGCACCCCUGACACUCACAGCACCCUCACACACACACACACACACUGCACCCCUGACACUCACAGCACACA